GGACCGGGUUACGCUGGGUUAAUUUGGCUUGUUUGGGCUUCAGGUGUCAUUGAAAACCGGUAGUUUCGGGAACAUAGAGAGAGAGGGAGAGAACAGAGAGGGCCGUCCAGUGGAGAGAGGAGACUCCUGGAUUGGAUAGUUGCAGUAGCAGCAGCCUAGUGUUGUUUUCAGAACCUAAACUGCUCAGAAUUAGUACUUAUUAGAAAGGGAUUGAGUAGCAAAUUUCUAACCAAAAGGUUAAGGGUUUUUAAGUCAUCUGAACAGGACAAAGAAAACCUCGGUCCUAUAAGAAUUUUGAAAUUGUACGCCGCUUUUUAUCACCGUAUUAUUAGUAUUAGGAGUUGGAAAAGCAAGGAGGUGAGGCGAGGUUGAAGAUGAAGUUCUGCAAGAAGUACGAGGAAUACAUGCAAGGACAAUGCCAGAGGAAGAAAUUGCCUGGGGUUGGUUUCAAGAAUCUCAAGAAAAUCUUGAAAAGGUGUCGACGACACCUUCAAUCCCGUGAUAACGCUGCCCUUGUUCCUGAUCAUUUCGGAGAUUCUACCCUCUGCGGUAGAUCCUCCUCUUGCCCGGACUCUUGCCCAGUGUGUGAUGGCACGUUUUUCCCUUCACUUCUGAAGGAGAUGUCUGAAGUUGUUGGCUUCUUCAACGAGAAUGCCCAGAGGUUGCUUGAGCUCCAUUUGGCAUCGGGUUUCCGUAAGUGCUUUAUUUGGUUUAAAGACAAAAUACAAGGCAACCAUAUCGCACUGAUUGAAGAAGGCAAGGAGUUGGUCACUUACGCACUGAUUAAUGCCAUUGCCUUGCGUAAGAUACUGAAGAAAUAUGAUAAGAUACACUACUCCAAGCAAGGCCAAGUAUUUAAGUCUCAAGCGCACAGUAGGAACCUUGAGAUUCUCCAAUCACCAUGGCUAUGUGAGCUGAUGGCCUUUCACAUAAAUUCGCAAGAGACAAAGGGCAAUACAAGGAAUGCUCCUGCUUUGUUCAACGGCUGUUCCCUCAUAUUUAAAGAUGAAAAGCCUUCUCUUUCUUGUGAGCUCUUUGAUUCAGUCAAGCUUGAACUGGACUUGACUUGUUCGAUAUGCUUGGAUACAGUUUUUGAUCCAGUGUCUUUGACUUGCGGUCAUAUAUUCUGCUACAUGUGUGCUUGCAAGGCAGGAUCAGUGACCAUAGUGGAUGGAUUGAAGGCAGCUAGUCCCAAGGAAAAGUGCCCCCUUUGCAGAGAGAUUUAACAUCAAGUGAACGAAUUUGUGUCCUGCUCAAUGGAUUAUUCAAGUCUACCAGAAUGUCUUAUAUUUGCAUAUCCUUGUCUGGCCAUCAGACUGGUUUUGUACAUUCCAACUGAAUGUCAAGAACUAUCACACUUCUCACAAUUUUAGGUCAAACAAACUUGUCGAUGUUUAUCUCCACAUGAACUCAUCAGGCAGGAGUUUAUGAAGGUGCUGUGCAUUUGGAGGAGCUAAACAUUCUAUUAAGCCAAAGUUGUCCGGAGUACUGGGCGGCGCGACUACAGUCUGAACGAGCCGAAAGAAUUAGACAAGCCAAGGAGCACUGGGAAUCACAGUGUCGAGCAUUCAUGGGUAUAUAACAAGAAUCGCAGCGUUAAUUGUCUUUGAUUUGCUAUGCAUGUAUAAGGGAAUCUAUGGGUUUCUCUGGGAUUGGAAGUGUUGUCUUCUCCGACAUUUCUGAGCGAAACCAAAAUAACCUGUACAUAAAUAAGUUGGCUUUUGAACAAGUCUAACCUGAGGUCCAAAAUAACCGGUGGCCGCGUUAUCAGGUUAAUUUUGGAGGCCUAUUACUCGUUCUGUAUCGUCCUUUUGUAAUGACAUGCUUUUGGCAAAGAAAAAAAAAUAAAAAAAGUUGUGCCCGCCUGCAAUUAGGUUCA